rnacentral:misc_RNA from 1 species
GUAACAAGGUUUCCGUAGGUGAACCUGCGGAAGGAUCAUUACCUAGAGUUGUAGGCUUUGCCUGCUAUCUCUUACCCAUGUCUUUUGAGUACCUUCGUUUCCUCGGCGGGUUCGCCCGCCGAUUGGACAAUUUAAACCAUUUGCAGUUGCAAUCAGCGUCUGAAAAAACUUAAUAGUUACAACUUUCAACAACGGAUCUCUUGGUUCUGGCAUCGAUGAAGAACGCAGCGAAAUGCGAUAAGUAGUGUGAAUUGCAGAAUUCAGUGAAUCAUCGAAUCUUUGAACGCACAUUGCGCCCCUUGGUAUUCCAUGGGGCAUGCCUGUUCGAGCGUCAUUUGUACCUUCAAGCUCUGCUUGGUGUUGGGUGUUUGUCUCGCCUCUGCGCGUAGACUCGCCUCAAAACAAUUGGCAGCCGGCGUAUUGAUUUCGGAGCGCAGUACAUCUCGCGCUUUGCAUUCAGAACGACGACGUCCAAAAGUACAUUUUUACACUCUUGACCUCGGAUCAGGUAGGGAUACCCGCUGAACUUAAGCAUAUCAAUAA